UUCGCUAGCGACAUAGGUAAUUCGUGAAUUUAGUUUCUCAAAAUUAUCAAUCAACAGUUAUAAAAAUAUACAAAUAUAUAAAACUUAUCUGAACUAUAAAAGCCACUUUGAAAUGCCUUUUCAACUUUUUAAAAUUUUAAUUUUACUACAAAAUCUUUUGAUUUGUUUGAUUUGAAUCGGUCAACAAAUAUUUAAUAUAAAAAUUUAAGCUAAUUACUUAUUUUAAUAAAUUUACAAUUGUGAUAAUUGUAUAAAUAUACUAAUUAAAUAUGUGAAAAAAUAAAUAACGUAUUCAAAAUUUAAAAUCAAACUUC
rnacentral:lncRNA from 1 species